rnacentral:rRNA from 1 species
UACGUAGGCAGCGAGCGUUGUUCGGAGUUACUGGGCGUAAAGGGUGUGUAGGCGGUUGUUUAAGUUUGGUGUGAAAUCUCCCGGCUCAACUGGGAGGGUGCGCCGAAUACUGAGCGACUAGAGUGCGGGAGAGGAAAGUGGAAUUCCUGGUGUAGCGGUGAAAUGCGUAGAUAUCAGGAGGAACACCGGUGGUGUAGACGGCUUUCUGGACCGUAACUGACGCUGAGACACGAAAGCGUGGGUAGCAAACAGG